rnacentral:tRNA from 4 species
GGCGGUGUAGCUCAGGUGGUAGAGCAUGCGACUCAUAUUCGCAGUGUCCGGGGUUCGAAUCCCUGCACCGCCACCA